GACGAACGCUGGCGGCGUGCUUAACACAUGCAAGUCGAGCGAGGCCCGCUCUUCGGGGUGGUGCCCUAGCGGCGAACGGGUGAGUAACACGUGGGCAACCUGCCCUCAGCUCUGGGAUAACUCCAAGAAAUUGGUGCUAAUACCGGAUGUGACCGCUGACCGCAUGGUCUGGUGGUGGAAAGAUUCAUCGGCUGGGGAUGGGCCCGCGGCCUAUCAGCUUGUUGGUGGGGCACGGCCCACCAAGGCGACGACGGGUAGCCGGCCUGAGAGGGUGACCGGCCACACUGGGACUGAGACACGGCCCAGACUCCUACGGGAGGCAGCAGUGGGGAAUAUUGCGCAAUGGGCGGAAGCCUGACGCAGCGACGCCGCGUGAGGGAUGACGGCCUCGGUU
rnacentral:rRNA from 1 species